UACGUAGGGGGCAAGCGUUGUCCGGAUUUAUUGGGCGUAAAGAGCGUGUAGGCGGCUAGAUAGGUCCGUUGUGAAAACUCGAGGCUCAACCUCGAGACGUCGAUGGAAACCAUCUAGCUAGAGUCCGGAAGAGGAGAGUGGAAUUCCUGGUGUAGCGGUGAAAUGCGCAGAUAUCAGGAAGAACACCCGUGGCGAAGGCGGCUCUCUGGUACGUGACUGACGCUGAGACGCGAAAGCGUGGGGAGCAAACGGG
rnacentral:rRNA from 1 species